GAGCAUGUUUCUUCUUCCUCAGAUCUUGCCUGGUGCUGCGCACUCUUUAAUGUGCAUGACUUCGGGGCUGGUUGUCUAUGCUUAUUCAACCCUCUCUAUCUGUUUUCUGUUACGGCUGGCAUCUAGAUUACUGUUGGAAUAUGCCUUUAGAUCGCCUGCAUUUGAUGGCUUGACUUUAAGGGGGACUUGACUCAAGAAGACACCUCAAGGGGCAAUGUUUAAGACUCCUCACCUCCAGGCGGGACUGGAGGCGUAAAUCCGUACGAAGAGGGAGCUGGAACGGACUCGGACCUCGAGUGCAAAGGGGG